rnacentral:rRNA from 1 species
CACCAGCGCCACAAGUGGGGAUCACAUUUAUUUGGCCUAAAGCGUUCGUAGCCGGCUCGUUAAAUCCUUUGUGAAAUCGUUUCGUUCAAUCAAACGACGUGCGGGGGAGACUGGCGAGCUCGGGACUGGGAGGAGUCAGGAGUAUGCAGGGGGAGCAGUAAAAUGCUAUAAUCCCCUGGAGACUACCGGUGGCGAAGGCGCCUGACCAGAACAGAUCCGACGGUGAGGAACGAAAGCUAGGGGAGCAAUC